UACGUAGGACCCAAGCGUUAUCCGGAGUGACUGGGUGUAAAGAGUUGCGUAGGUGGCUCGUUAAGUAGAUAGUGAAAUCGUGUGGCUCAACCAUUACGGCUAUUAUCUAAACUGGCGGGCUCGAGAAUGGUAGAGGUAGCUGGAAUUUCUAGUGUAGGAGUGAAAUCCGUAGAUAUUAGAAGGAACACCAAUGGCGUAGGCAGGCUACUGGACCAUUUCUGACACUGAGGCACGAAAGCGUGGGGAGCGAACCGGAUUAGAAACCCAGUAGUCC
rnacentral:rRNA from 1 species